AGUGAACGCUGGCGGCGUGCUUAACACAUGCAAGUCGAACGAGAACGGAUUAUAGCUUGCUAUAAUUGUCAGCUAAGUGGCGCACGGGUGAGUAAUGUAUAGGUAAUAUGCCUCUUACUAAGGGAUAACAAAUGGAAACGUUUGCUAAUACCUUAUACUCCUUAUUAACAGAAGUUAAUAAGGGAAAGAUUUAUUGGUAAGAGAUUAGCCUGUAUUGUAUCAGUUAGUUGGUGGGGUAAUGGCUUACCAAGACUAUGACACAUAGCUGGUUUGAGAGGAUGAGCAGUCACACUGGAACUGAGACACGGUCCAGACUCCUACGGGAGGCAGCAGUGGGGAAUAUUGCACAAUGGACGAAAGUCUGAUGCAGCAACGCCGCGUGGAGGAUGACACAUUUCGGUGCGUAAACUCCUUUUAUAUGAGAAGAUAAUGACGGUAUUAUAUGAAUAAGCACCGGCUAACUCCGUGCCAGCCGCCGCGGUAA
rnacentral:rRNA from 1 species